ensembl:snRNA U6 U6 spliceosomal RNA
GUGCUUGCUUUGGCAGCACAUAUACUAAAGUUGGAAUGAUACAGAGGCCCAUGGCCCCUGCACAAGGAUGACAUGCAAAUUUGUGAAGCAUUCCAUAUUUCU